GAAAUGAGCCUCUUUAAUUAGCUCAAGUAGAAGUGAACCUUCUGCUAAAGAUCGUCAAAUUGACGGGAAACCCCUAAAGCAAUCUUAACUAACUUAGUAUGGUAACAUAACUAAGGGCGCAGGUAAUGACUCGCGGUAUAGUAACAUCAAGAUUGAUUACGAAAGUGAAUGGGCAAUCCGCAGCCAAGCAGCAUAAUAGUUUUAUUAUGGUGUGCAGUUCAUCGACUAGAUGGUGAUCGGCGAAAGCUUAAGAUAUAGUCAAACCUCUAUGGAAACAUAGCA
rnacentral:ncRNA from 1 species